rnacentral:rRNA from 1 species
CAGGCCUAACACAUGCAAGUCGAACGAGGUUUGGUCAGUUUGCGGUGGUGCUUGCAUCACCAAUUACCGAUCAAACCGAGUGGCGGACGGGUGAGUAACACGUGGGUAACCUGCCCUUCAGCAGGGGAUAACAUUUGGAAACAGAUGCUAAUACCGUAUAACCACGGAGACCGCAUGGUCUCCGGGUAAAAGAUGGCGCAAGCUAUCACUGAAGGAUGGACCCGCGGCGUAUUAGCCAGUUGGUGGGGUAACGACCUACCAAAGCGAUGAUACGUAGCCGACCUGAGGGGGUAAUCGGCCACAUUGGGACUGAGACACGGCCCAAACUCCUACGGGAGGCAGCAGUAGGGAAUCUUCCACAAUGGACGCAAGUCUGAUGGAGCAACGCCGCGUGAGUGAAGAAGGCUUUCGGGUCGUAAAACUCUGUUAUUGAAGAAGAACGUGUGUGACAGUAACUGGUCAUGCAGUGACGGUAUUCAAUCAGAAAGUCACGGCUAACUACGUGCCAGCAGCCGCGGUAAU